GCCUACGGGGGGCAGCAGUAGGGAAUUUUCGUCAAGGGGCGCAAGCCUGAACGAGCAAUGCCGCGUGAACGAGGAAGGUCUUCGGAUCGUAAAGUUCUGUUGAAGGGGAAAAAGAGCGGAGAGAGGAAAUGGUCUCCGAUUGAUAUUACCCUUCGAGGAAGUCACGGCUAACUACGUGCCAGCAGCCGCGGUAAUACGUAGGUGGCGAGCGUUAUCCGGAAUGAUUGGGCGUAAAGGGUGCGUAGGCGGCCUGCUAAGUCUGGAGUGAAAGGUACCGGCUCAACCGGUACAGGCUCUGGAAACUG
rnacentral:rRNA from 1 species